rnacentral:piRNA from 1 species
AUAUCGACGAUGCUGAUCUCUUA